rnacentral:rRNA from 1 species
AACGAACGCUGGCGGCAGGCCUAACACAUGCAAGUCGAACGGUUGUAGCAAUACAGCAGUGGCGCACGGGUGAGUAAGGCGUGGGAACAUACCUUAGAGUCCGGAAUAACCUCGGGAAACUGAGGCUAAUACCGGAUAUUCUCUCCGGAGGAAAGAUUUAUCGCUCUAAGAUUGGCCCGCGUCAGAUUAGCUAGUUGGUGAGGUAAUGGCUCACCAAGGCUCCGAUCUGUAGCUGGUCUGAGAGGACGACCAGCCACACUGGAACUGAGACACGGUCCAGACUCCUACGGGAGGCAGCAGUGGGGAAUAUUGGACAAUGGGCGAAAGCCUGAUCCAGCCAUGCCGCGUGAAUGAUGAAGGCCUUAGGGUUGUAAAGUUCUUUUGCCAGGGAAGAUAAUGACGGUACCUGGAGAAUAAGCACCGGCUAACUUCGUGCCAGCCGCCGCGGUAA